rnacentral:miRNA from 1 species
CAGGAUGCUCAAUUAUAUUUGAAUUUUACAUAAGCAAUGAAUAAUGUUUUAGUAUAAGUAUAUCCCACGGGACAUUUGGGACAUACUUAUACUAAAAUAUUCUUCAUUAUUUAUCUGAAAUUCAAAUUUAACCGAGCAUCUUGUA